rnacentral:rRNA from 1 species
GCGUAUACAAUCUACCUUUAACUGAGGGAUAGCCCAGAGAAAUUUGGAUUAAUACCUCAUAGUAUUAUAAUUAGGCAUCUUUUUAUAAUUAAAACUUCGGUGGUUAAAGAUGAGUAUGCGUACUAUUAGCUAGUUGGUAAGGUAAAAGCUUACCAAGGCAACGAUAGUUAGGGGGCCUGAAAGGGUGAUCCCCCACACUGGUACUGAGACACGGACCAGACUCCUACGGGAGGCAGCAGUGAGGAAUAUUGCACAAUGGAGGAAACUCUGAUGCAGCCAUGCCGCGUGCAGGAAGAAUGCCCUAUGGGUUGUAAACUGCUUUUAUACAAGAAGAAACCUCGGUACGUGUACCGACUUGACGGUAUUGUAUGAAUAAGCACCGGCUAACUCCGUGCCAGCAGCCGCGGUAAUACGGAGGGUGCAAGCGUUAUCCGGAUUUAUUAGGUUUAAAGGGUCCGCAGGCGGAAUAUUAAGUCAGUGGUGAAAGCCUACAGCUCA